rnacentral:lncRNA from 1 species
UGUAGCUCCACCACUCUCUGGCAAGUCACGACAACAGACACCACUCCACCCCACGCAAUAAGCUCCACGUGGCCCUGAACGACCUCUGACACCACUACUCUCCGUAACAAACUCCACGCGGCCCUGAAUGGUCCACUAUCAGACGGUUACAGACAUCGCUGUCGAUCAGUUGCACCCUCCACCUAUAAAUAAGGACCCCC